CAUAUAUUUUUACUUCUUUGCAUAUACAAAUUCUGGGCGGAGGCGUCGAAAUCAAUUUGAAAAAUAGGGGAAUCAGAAGGUGGAGGAGGAAUCAGAAGGGUGACGGUGUUAACCGAGGAGAUGAGGCGUAGAAUUGCAGAAGGAGGAACGUCGACACUGACGGCGGCGGAGAUUGAGCAAAAAGUUGCAGAAGGAGGUGGAUACCUCUGGGGGUUUAAACCACCAGCCAAUUACUCUUAUGAAAGGUAUGCCAACGAUAGCGACGACGAGCUUUUGCCUGAUGACGCUUUGCCUGAGCAUCGCCCUGAUUUUUACCAUAUUUGGCGCCAUUAUCACCACCAAGCUGCACAAACCAAUGGUUUUGACCUUGAUAUCUAUCCUGGUUGUUCUAUGCUGGCUGAUGUGCUGCCAUUAGACAAGUCCCAUACUAAGUAUGGUGAGAUAAUGAUGGAACUGGCGCUAUCCAGCAAUACAAUGAGAAAGAGUGCAAUGUUUUUAAGUACAAGUUCUUGAAUAUUGAGAAGGUGAACUAUCGGUUGACGGGAUUGAAGAAUAUUUUAUGACUGUUAAAGUCUUAAAUCUCACUCUUGGUUCUUCUAUCGAAACUUUUCAAAUACAUGCUGGCAGACUGAUUGCUGUUGCAGGUACCAAAAAAGUCUUUAGUUGCCUGCCAAAAGGAGGGGGGUUGGUUGCAAUUGCCAAGCAGGAUGGAGAGGGAAGUGUCACUGAAGGGAAAGAGAAAGACCCUUGAACUCUAGUUAUUUAAUAGUUUAAUCGUUUUACUUUAAUGUGUAAUCUGGUCUGAUAAUAUUAUUCACCUGGAUCCCAUAGUUUUCUUAAUUUAGUAGAAACAUUUCAGUUUCUGUAACUAUGAGUGCUUUAACUUUGAGAGGUGACAUGACUUCUUUGUUAAAUUAUGAGCCCUUUAACUUUGAAAA